rnacentral:tRNA from 1 species
GGGCCUGUAGCUCAGUCAGGUUAGAGCGCUCGGCUCAUAACCGCGUGGUCACCGGUUCAAAUCCGGUCAGGCCCA